rnacentral:rRNA from 1 species
AGAGUUUGAUCCUGGCUCAGGAUGAACGCUGGCGGCGUGCUUAAUACAUGCAAGUCGAACGGACGUAGCAAUACGUUAGUGGCGACCGGGUGCGUAACACGUAGUUGACCUACCCCUCAGCGGGGGACAACAUGCCGAAAGGCGGCUAAUACCGCAUGAACUAGGGGUGAUUAGAUAGCCCUUAGAAAACUUUCGGGGCUGAGGGAGGGGACUGCGGCUCAUCAGGUAGUUGGUGGGGUAACGGCUCACCAAGCCAACGACGAGUAGGGGACCUGAGAGGGUGACCCCCCACACUGGAACUGACAGACGGUCCAGACUCCUACGGGAGGCAGC